UUCAUCCCUAGAGCCUCUGGGGGUAGUAGAGGAUGUCUACAGCUUUUUUUGGAAAACCUCAGAUAUGACAGGGAAAAAGAACAAAAAAUUGAAGAAAACAAAGAGUACAGUAAAACUGUGAGAGGGAAAGGAGGAAACAGAAAAAAUGAAAGAAAGAGGUAUGUCUGAUAGGAUGGAGAAGGAGUCAGUUCCAUGUAGAUAGAGAGACUCUUGUGAUAUGGUUAUUGGCCAGAUGCCAUAUAUGUUGUAUAUGAAACUGGGAUAACAAUAGCAGAGGUUGUUUUGAAAAUGAAUUGGCUAAUGGGAAUUUGCU
rnacentral:lncRNA from 1 species